rnacentral:sRNA from 1 species
AUUAUUAUCCUUUAAACUUACUGCUUCGAUGCCUUCUCUUGCGGACAAGACGAGAAUGUCAGAACAUGAGACAACACCAGGACACUCCCUCUCGAGAGCUUCCUUGAUCUCCUCGAUGUACCUAAAGUUUCUAAGUCCGAAGCUCCUGUCGUGUUCUUUCUCUCCUAGCUCUCUUCUUGUCGAAUCCAGCAAAAGCGACGCAUCACAU